GACACAAAAUGACACAUUUUUCAUCUAGGAAUCAUGCCCAGAAAGUGACCAUAACUUAGUGAACAAAUUGGCCAAAUCCGGAAUUGAGUGUUCUGCCCUGUAUAAAAAUGACCAAAUGAACAUUUGGCCAUAACUUGGGCUAGGCAGGUCUAAAUGACCUGAAAGUUUACCAGUAGAAAGAUGAGAUAUAAACCUAAAACUU
rnacentral:misc_RNA from 1 species